rnacentral:lncRNA from 1 species
CUAAUUCCAACUCAUACUUGUAUUCAGUGCUAGAUUUUUUUAUGAUAUUUUCCUGAUGUGUGUAACUGUGAGAGUAAUCUCUAGAGCUCAAUCUUCAUGUAUACUUGUAUUCAGUGCUAGAUUUUUUUAUGAUAUUUUCCUGAUGUGUGUAACUGUGAGAGUAAUCUCUAGAGCUCAAUCUUCAUGUAUUUAAGAAAAGAGUAAUCUCAGGAUUACAUCUUUGAUUUCAUUCU